CAGUAGCCGCGGUAAUACGAAGGGUGCAAGCGUAAAUCGGAAUUACUGGGCGUAAAGCGUGCGUAGGCGGUUUGUUAAGUCUGUUGUGAAAUCCCCGGGCUCAACCUGGGAAUGGCAAUGGAUACUGGCAAGCUAGAGUGUGUCAGAGGAUGGUGGAAUUCCCGGUGUAGCGGUGAAAUGCGUAGAGAUCGGGAGGAACAUCAGUGGCGAAGGCGGCCAUCUGGGACAACACUGACGCUGAGGCACGAAAGCGUGGGGAGCAAACAGGAUUAGAUACCCCCGUAGUCCCUGUCUCUUAUAC
rnacentral:rRNA from 1 species